GGGGGGGGGGGGGGGGGGGCCGGGGGCGGGGGGGUCGGGCGGCAGGGCCGUGCGGGCGUGCGGUUGCGGGGGGGGGGGGGGGGGCGGGGGAGGAGUGCAGCGGGAUCUACUCUGUCGUGGGGGAUCACGGAGGGAAACCUACGCCCGUACCGCAUCCGACCUACGGUUGUGAGCAGGGGAUCUUCGCACCUUGCGCGAUUGAACGAGCCGCUGUCGGAUUCGCUAGUUGGCGGGGUCAAGGCCCACCCAGGCGACGACCCGUAGCUGGUCUGAGAGGACGAUCAGCCACACUGGAACUGAGACACGGUCCAGACUCCUACGGGAGGCAGCAGUGGGGAAUAUUGGACAAUGGGCGCAAGCCUGAUCCAGCCAUACCGAGUGGGUGGAGAAGGCCUUCGGGUUGGAAAGCCCUUUUGUGGGGAAAGAAAAGCAGCAGGUUAAUACCCCGCUGUUCUGACGGUACCCAAAGAAGAAGCACCGGCUAACUUCGUG
rnacentral:rRNA from 1 species